GAGCUCAUUGAUCAUCAUAACAGAGUCUAUUGAAAGUCCUCAGCAGGCGGUGUGACGAUGUGACCAGCUCUGGCCAAGGAGCUGUAGGCAGAAGUGUCUUGCAGCAGCUCCUGUAAAUCUUAAAAGACAGCUGGUGCGUGUCUUUUUUCCUUUUUUUUUCCCUUCCCCCUUCCUGCUGCGCUGAAUAUGGAUAUGGUGAGUGAAUCUAGAGCAGCCAUUUGGAGGUAUGAAGAGAUCUUGGAAAUAGAGGCCAUGUGUGUUGAAACAAGACCGAACAACUCCAAGUUCCUGAAGACUUCAUUUCACCAACCCAGAACCUCCUUGAUCAUCACAGCCUUUGCAUGGAUGAUUGUCUGUCCUCUGUUGGGCCCCUUCUGAAGAGUUGGAGUUGGCUUUAUACAAUUAUUCCCAAAUCUUCUAAACUGACAGUGAGGGAGAGUAAUUUGAAAGGACUGCUCAACUCAACGUCAUUUGAAGAUUUGCACCACAGCUGCAUUUUUCCAAUUUCCUGGCAUCUAUUCUGCUCUCCUGGACUUUUCAAAAACAAUUUCUUUCAGAUCCCUGGAGGCCUCUCCCAGGGCCUGUGGUGUGGAGAGUUGGACUUGACCCUACUGUAAGAGACCCAACUUCCAAAGACUGCAUCAGAUGAAAGGCUCUCCAUAUAGACUACAGACUUGUCAGCUGGUUAAGGAGGCAAACAGAACAGUCUGCUACAAACUCCAGUCCAUGUAUCUGUGCUGAAAAUAAAAGGAGUCUUCAGGAAUCAAAGAAGAAAAUAUUUUUAUAAAGAAAUUUUAUUGCAUAAUUCUUGUAUACAAUAAACAUAGGAAAAGGGUUUUUAAUGAAAAUUCAUGUCAUUUUUCAA
rnacentral:lncRNA from 1 species